AGAGUUUGAUCCUGGCUCAGGACGAACGCUGGCGGCGUGCUUAACACAUGCAAGUCGAACGGAAAGGCCCUUCGGGGUACUCGAGUGGCGAACGGGUGAGUAACACGUGGGUGAUCUGCCCUGCACUUUGGGAUAAGCCUGGGAAACUGGGUCUAAUACCGAAUAUGACCAUGCGCCUCCUGGUGUGUGGUGGAAAGCUUUUGCGGUGUGGGAUGGGCCCGCGGCCUAUCAGCUUGUUGGUGGGGUAAUGGCCCACCAAGGCGACGACGGGUAGCCGGCCUGAGAGGGUGACCGGCCACACUGGGACUGAGAUACGGCCCAGACUCCUACGGGAGGCAGCAGUGGGGAAUAUUGCACAAUGGGCGCAAGCCUGAUGCAGCGACGCCGCGUGAGGGAUGACGGCCUUCGGGUUGUAAACCUCUUUCAGUAGGGACGAAGCGAAAGUGACGGUACCUACAGAAGAAGGACCGGCCAACUACGUGCCAGCAGCCGCGGUAAUACGUAGGGUCCGAGCGUUGUCCGGAAUUACUGGGCGUAAAGAGCUCGUAGGUGGUUUGUCGCGUUGUUCGUGAAAACUCACAGCUUAACUGUGGGCGUGCGGGCGAUACGGGCAGACUUGAGUACUGCAGGGGAGACUGGAAUUCCUGGUGUAGCGGUGGAAUGCGCAGAUAUCAGGAGGAACACCGGUGGCGAAGGCGGGUCUCUGGGCAGUAACUGACGCUGAGGAGCGAAAGCGUGGGGAGCGAACAGGAUUAGAUACCCUGGUAGUCC
rnacentral:rRNA from 1 species